rnacentral:rRNA from 1 species
GACGAACGCUGGCGGCGUGCUUAACACAUGCAAGUCGAACGGUGAAGCGCCUUCCUUUUUGGUGGGUGUGGAUGAGUGGCGAACGGGUGAGUAACACGUGAGUAACCUGCCCCCUUCUUCUGGAUAACCGCAUGAAAGUGUGGCUAAUACGGGAUAUUCUGGGUCUGUCGCAUGAUGGGUCUGGGAAAGAUAUUGUUUCGGUGGGGGAUGGGCUCGCGGCCUAUCAGCUUGUUGGUGGGGUGAUGGCCUACCAAGGCGGUGACGGGUAGCCGGCCUGAGAGGGUGGACGGUCACACUGGGACUGAGACACGGCCCAGACUCCUACGGGAGGCAGCAGUGGGGAAUAUUGCACAAUGGGCGAAAGCCUGAUGCAGCGACGCCGCGUGAGGGAUGGAGGCCUUCGGGUUGUGAACCUCUUUCGCCAGUGAAGCAGGCCUGCCUCGUUUGUGGGUGGGUUGACGGUAGCUGGAAAAGAAGCGCCGGCUAACUACGUG